rnacentral:rRNA from 1 species
AUACGAAGGGGGCUAGCGUUGUUCGGAAUUACUGGGCGUAAAGCGCGCGUAGGCGGAUUGGUCAGUUAGGGGUGAAAUCCCAGGGCUUAACCCUGGAACUGCCUCUAAUACUGCCAGUUUUGAGUUCGGGAGAGGUGAGUGGAAUUCCUAGUGUAGAGGUGAAAUUCGUAGAUAUUAGGAAGAACACCAGUGGCGAAGGCGGCUCACUGGCCCGAUACUGACGCUGAGGCGCGAAAGCGUGGGGAGCAAACAGGAUUAGAAACCCCAGUAGUCC